AUUGAACGCUGGCGGCAGGCCUAACACAUGCAAGUAUAGCGAGCGGCGGACGGGUGAGUAAUGUCUGGGAAACUGCCUGAUGGCGGGGGAUAACUACUGGAAACGGUAGCUAAUACCGCAUACCAUCAGAUAUGCCCAGAGGGGAUUAGCUAGGAGGUGGGGUAAUGGCUCACCUAGGCGAAGAUCCCUAGCUGGUCUGAGCGGAUGACCGUCCACACUGGAACUGGGACCCGGUCCAUACUCCUCCGGGAGGCAGCAGUGGGGAAUAUUGCAGAAUGGGCGCAAGCCUGAUGCAGGCAUGCCGCGUGUAUGAAGAGGGCCUUCGGGUUGUAAAGUACUUUCAGCGGGGAGGCGUUACCCGCAGAAGAAGCACCGGCUAACUCCGUGCCAGCAGCCGCGGUAAUAC
rnacentral:rRNA from 1 species